AUGUCCGGAGCCUCUCUUGUGAAUCACAUUGCUUACAAUGAUUUCAUGAUUGAGGUCUCACAUAUGAGUUAUGGUAUUUCUAUCCUUAAAAGUGUACUUGAUGACACAUAUGCCCUUUGUAUGGCUGUCUCUUCUAGCUUUUCAGAAAUCCGUCCCUUGCAAGUGAGGUGGCUGGGAUGCCAAGAGUGGGGAGGGUCACCUGAAUACACUGUUAAGAGAAUAGUUAUGUUAGGAAGCUACACUAGCUUUGACGACCUGAGCAUUCAUGGAACGUUUUCUGGCAUCCAAUACAUUGAGUACUUCAGUUGUGUAAAGGAAGUGAAGUGUGAACCCAGUGUUUCUUUUGACUACUCCAAGUCUGAAAUGAAUUCCAUGAGGAGGAAAAGGCUGAAUUGA
rnacentral:rRNA from 1 species